UUGAGAAGCAUAAGCGCUGUGCUGAUUGUCCUGUCAACCCUGGAGCUCUGCCUUACCAUCAGCUCUGCCGUCAUGGCGAUCAAGGCUCUAAAGAGCACAGAAGGGAGAAAAGGAGAAGACCGGGGACCCAGAACUCUACAAACCACUGCUGGAGGAAGUCACCAGUAACCCCACAGUCUGAAUGGAAAUAUCUGCUUUGUGCUCUGAGCUACCACGUAUAAUCCUGUGCAUUUAUACCAUUGACUGUAUAUCUAUGUAAUGUCAAUGAUUUAGUCAAAUUCAGGUGGUAUGCUUAAAAAUACUUAAAGAUAG